rnacentral:rRNA from 1 species
GAUGAACGCUGGCGGCGUGCCUAAUACAUGCAAGUCGAGCGAAGCGGGGACGGGUGAGUAACACGUGGAUAACCUCCUAUAAGACUGGGAUAACGUCGGGAAACCGUAGCCAAACCGGUUACUUAUAGAUGGAUCCGCGCUGCAUUAGCUAGUGGGUAAGUGAACGGCUUACCAAGGCAACGAUGCAUAGCCGACCUGCGAGGGUGAUCGGACACAAUGGAACCGAGACACGGUCCAAACUCCUACGGGAGGAAGCAGGAGGGAAUCUUCCGCAAUGGGCGAAAGCCUGACAGAGCAACGCAGCGUGAGUGAGGAAGGUCUUCGGAUCGUAAAACUCUGUUAUUAGGGAAGCGGUACCUAAUCAGAAAGCCACGGCUAACUACGUGCCAGCCGCCGCGGUAAUAC